GUUUUUUUCAUACCCACAAUACACUUGCUCUCAAAUUCCCAACAAGUUUACUAAAAAAGCAAGGCAGCAAUCGCAGAUAUCAAAGUUACUUUGAUCGAAACACAUGCUAAUCUUCGGAUCCUAUCGCGAAAACGACUUUUUCUCAUUCAGAAAUCAAACUUCUCUCUCCUCUCACUCUCUUCUCUCUCUCUAACAACAGUGGUGGAGGUGCUUUGUGGUGGUAGUUAUGGCGGGUGGUUGUGGUGGGUUUAGUUGUAGGUGGUGGUGGGUGGCUGUGGUGUUAAGGUCGGUUGCAGGUGGGUGGUCGGAGAAUCGAUGCCAGAGAAUCAAUGUUAAGGUCGGUUGCAGGUUUGUUUUUGGGGAUUAAGGUGGGUGGUCGGAGAAUCGAUGCCGGAGAAUCGAUGCCGGAUAUGUUUGGAUUUUAAAUAAUUUUUGAUUUUUGGUAAACAAGGGACCACAGAUGGGGCAAUGGAGGUGUCUAUCAAGAACACGAUUCUUGAAAUAUUGAUCUCGAACACACAUCUGUGUGGACUUGUGAUCUGGUAUAGGCUGGACAUCUACAUCACACUGUUUAAUUUUUAGAUUUUAAAUAAUUUUUUCCAACUAUUUUCGUGGGUGAAGUGUUAUUGUUUUUGAUUUGUUGAAAUUGGACUGUUCUUCUGAUUGGUUAGUGUUAAAGAAAUGUGG
rnacentral:lncRNA from 1 species